rnacentral:rRNA from 1 species
CUAACAAGGAUUCCCCUAGUAACUGCGAGUGAAGCGGGAAAAGCUCAAAUUUAAAAUCUGGCGGUCGUUGGCCGUCCGAGUUGUAAUCUAGAGAAGUGUUACCUGUGCUGGACCGUGUACAAGUCUCCUGGAAUGGAGCAUCAUAGAGGGUGAGAAUCCCGUCUUUGACAUGGACUGCCUGUACAUGAUGGUGCGCUCUCGAAGAGUCGAGUUGUUUGGGAAUGCAGCUCAAAAUGGGUGGUAAAUGCCAUCUAAAGCUAAAUAUUGGCGAGAGACCGAUAGCGAACAAGUNCCGUGAGGGAAAGAUGAAAAGAACUUUGGAAAGAGAGUUAAACAGUACGUGAAAUUGCUGAAAGGAACGCUU